AGGAAGUGCGGGGUAAGAGGAGGGGGAGGGCGCGGAGCCCUGCCGGCGGCCGGAGGACCGGCGGGCGCUGACUGCGACCACCGCUCUCGGGCAGCGGACGCGCUGCUUUGGAAGAUGAGUGGAAAACUACAAUAAAAAAAACAUAGCCAUGAAAAUAAGUGAGAUUAAAACCUGCCGGCUUCACUUCCUGGAGGCUUUUUGUUGGGUCUUGAAACUAGGAGUCUUUGCGGGUCAUCCUUUUUUAUUUUUUUCAGCCCACUUACCUCGGGAGAGCAGGUUUUCUCCAUCCGAAGACUCCCUGACCCCAGCACCUCCGGCCCCGGGUGGGGCUCUGGUUGCAGCCUCCAGGCCACGCCCGGAUAGGACCGGGCCUGCGACACCAGCCAGGCUCCAGCCACCCUGCUAGGACACCUGGGCCUGGGAAGGGACCGGAACUCCCCUCCACCACCAGGCAGGGCUGGGGGGAAGCGACCCCCUGUCCCCGUGGAAGGCCGGCUCCCAGCAGCCCCCUGCUGCCAGCUGCACCCCCGUCAAACGUGCGCCCACCUUCAAGAAGGGAACAUGUGGGCUCCUAGACACUCGUCGGGGCAGCCCUGGGUCUGUUCUGUUGAUCGCUGGGUCUCCAGUGCCAAGCAGGGUGCCUGGCUCCUUUGCAAGUGAAUGAACGGACCCUGAAGGAGAAGCUGCCUCCUGAUCAGUCAAGGAGCUGGAUUUCUCAGCUUUCCAUUCUUAGGCGGUGUUGUCGUCAACCUGUGGAGAGAAACCGGAUUUAUCUGGGGGGUAAGGAAAUUCAUUCUCCCUGACUUUAUAUAUUUUCCAACCCACAGUGUCGGAUCGGCUAAGUCUUAGUGGUCUUUAGUUUCUUUAUGUGAUGUAUACCACUUGUCACUGUUUAAUGUAAUCUUAUGUCAUUUAAAGGUUAAAUUAUAGGGUAUAGAAAGCGACAAUAAUAUAAUCUUAGGCACAAUCAUUUAGAGGAAGAUUUCCCCCUAAAACUCGGUUAAAAUAAAUUGGAGAAAGACGCAGUUCAAUUCAUUCAACAAAUUUGACUUUGUGACAGAUCCAACGUAGUCUGUUGUAUUUAAUAAGAAUUCAGCCCAUAAAGGGAGAUUUAAUGACAUUAAUGAAAUUAGCUUUAUGUAUUAAUGGAACUGAAGGAGUCAACUCUAAAAGCAAAUGUUCUCUAAACCUAAAUAUUUUACACUCAAGAAAAUCUGCUGGGGACUUCCCUGGUGGCGCAGUGGUUAAGAAUCCGCCUGCUAAUGCAGGGGACGGGGCUUUGAUCCCUGGUUUUGGAAGAUCCCACGUG